CAUGUUAGAAGCCGAUUAUUAAAAACAAAGGCAGAGCAAAAACAGAGAUGCACCCACCACCCAACAAGGUAAAAACGAGAGCCAAAGCCAAAAUCCCCAACAAUCAGCAGCAGCAGCAGCGUGUGCUCUCCAUUCUCAACUCUCAACUUCCAUGGCUACAAGCAGCAGCUGCAACGGAUCAUCUCCAAUAACGACAAUAGCUCAAGACCAUGUCUUCUCCAUCUUACUACUCUUACCUUUGGACUCCAUUUUUUGCUUUGCUAUGACUUGUAAGAAGUUCAGGUCACUCACUUACUCAGACUCUUUAUGGGAAUCACUCUGUCGAAGAGAUUGGGGAAACUCCUCUAUUGAUGCACUCAGAUCCUUAGCUGCUGACGGUAAACAACAACAAUUUCCUUGGAAGAAGCUUUACCAGCAAAUCUACCAAUUGGAUUCUGUUUACUUUCGCAAACUGUUGACGCAUCCACAAGGAGGAGAAGAGCUAUUGCUUCCUCGACCUAGAGCUUCUCAUUCUCUCAACUUUGUUUCUGGCUGUCUAGUUCUCUUCGGCGGUGGCUGCGAGGGAGGAAGACAUCUGGACGAUACAUGGGUAGCAUAUGUUGGCAAUGACUUCAAGAGAAUGUUGAAAUGGAAUAAGAUUGAAUCAGGGGUCCCAAGUGGUCGCUUUGGGCAUUCAUGCGUCGUGAUUGGUGAUUGUCUAGUGCUUUUCGGAGGAAUAAAUGAUCAGGGGGCCCGCCAAAAUGAUACAUGGAUCGGCCAAGUAGCAGUACAUGAUGCAUUUGGUAUCACAUUAUCCUGGAGAUUAUUUGAUGUUGGUUCCAUUGCUCCUCCACCAAGAGGCGCUCAUGCUGCAUGUAGCAUUGAUAAAAGGAGGAUGCUGAUUCAUGGAGGGAUUGGUUUGUCUGGUCUGCGAUUGGGAGAUGCAUGGAUAUUGGAACUGUCCGAGAAUCUUCAUCUUGGAGUUUGGCAAGAAAUUGUAAUUCAUCCAUCUCCUCCAUCUCGCUCUGGACAUACAUUGACCCCUGUUGGAGGAAACCAAACAAUUUUGUUUGGUGGGAGGGGUUUAGGCUAUGAGGUGCUUAAUGAUGUAUGGCUCUUUGAUACAUCUGAAGGUCACUGGAGAUGGGUACAGUUACUAUUUGACUUGCAAAAUAUACCCCAAGGAUUGACCCUGCCAAGAGUUGGUCACUCGGCUAGUCUCAUCAUAGGAGGACGAUUGUUAAUUUAUGGAGGAGAAGAUUCCUACCGUCACAGGAAAAAUGACUUUUGGGUGUUGGAUAUCAGCUCAGUUACGUCCAUUAUGCAGUCUGGGUCUCCUCCAACACCGGAGAGAUCAACGGCUAAAUUGUGGAGACGGCUCAAGUCUAAAGGUGAUAACCCUUGCGGCAGAUCAUUUCACCGAGCUUGUGUGGAUCCUUCUGGUCGUAAUUUAUACAUCUUCGGUGGCAUGGUAGAUGGUUUACUUCAUGCUGCUGAAUCCUCUGGGCUGAGGUUUGAUGGGGAGUUGUUUCUUGUGGAGCUUUUGCUUCAGUGCUAGGGGAAUUGGAAGGAGAUUAUUGGAAAAACAAGUGGUGAUUCUAAAAUGCUGCUGCUUUACAUGAGAAUGAAUGCAGUGUAAAAAUCAGUCCCACUUGUUAGAAGCAAGGUAACAGCUAGUAGGGUGCUUUGUACAGUAAUAAGUAGGUAUUGUAAUUUGGUCUCAGAACUGCAUCUGAAGAAUUGUUUAAGGUAUGUUUUCUGCUCUUGUAGAGGAAGCUAGAGUCAACCAAGACACCAAAUGAUACAUGAUACCAGGCCCGACCUUUUCACGAUCCAGCAAAGCCCUCUGGAAUUAAUAGAACUACCAUGACCUUAAAGCACGCAUUCAACUAAUCUGUCCAUGUCUUUUGAUAGCCUCAACACCGAAGGUGUCGCGGAGUAGCUUAACCGUCAAGAAAGUGGGUGAAUUAAUUGAGAUGCGCACAAAUUGGCUACACACCAUAAUUAUAAAAACAAAAAAUUAAUAAUGGUAAUUUCGAAAAUGUAAGAUUGUUUA